rnacentral:rRNA from 1 species
GACGAACCGUGCGAACGUUGUUCGGAAUCACUGGGCUUAAAGGGCGCGUAGGCGGUCAAUCAAGUCGGGGGUGAAAUCUUGCAGCUUAACUGUAAAAGUGCCUUCGAUACUGAUUGACUCGAGGGAGGUAGGGGCAGGUGGAACUUCCAGUGGAGCGGUGAAAUGUGUUGAUAUUGGAAGGAACGCCGGUGGCGAAAGCGACCUGCUGGAUCUCUUCUGACGCUGAGGCGCGAAAGCUAGGGGAGCAAACGGG